rnacentral:rRNA from 1 species
GCCAGCAGCCAUGUCACCCUGCAACAAUUGGCAACCCACUGAACCUAAGCAGGUGUGAGCCUGGUCAGUACCUGGAUGGGAGACCUCCUGUGAAAAACUAAGGUUGCUGCUGGAA